UGCGUUCUGUUUGUGAAGUCAAACAUUCCAUGCACCAUGGCAACGAGGUAAUUGAAUGAUGUAAUAAACGAUGAUGUAAUAAACGAAGAACUCACAGGCGGAUGACGUCAGAUUUAAACCUAUCAUUCAUGCAGAAGUCUACCUUUUGAUCAAUUGAAGUCUACCUUUUGAUCAAUCGCGUUUCUCUCCUGUGGCUUUUUGACCAGUCACCGCAGCCGCUUUCAUCUUUUCCAUAGGGAGACACCUAUAGCUCUUUACUGGAUUUAUCCAUGUGAAAACCUGAAGAGAUCUGUCGUCCUCCUCAGAGCAGCUGGCACGAAGCAUCACAGGGAAGAGCUAAAGCUGCAGACACAAGUAAAAGGAAAAAGGGACAGGAAGAGCCAAAGGGACGGGACAUGCAGCAAGAGGAAGACCAGCAAGUAGACGGGGAAUGUCUACAUGGGGAAGACGGGCAGCUUCACCUGUUCUGGAUAUAUAUUAAAUAAAACUAUAACAAAACAUUUACGACAACUAA